rnacentral:lncRNA from 1 species
GGCAAGACCGAAUUCAGAAGGAUAUCGACGUCGUGAUCCAGAAGUCCAGAGCUGAGGACUGCCUGUUUGCAGGGCCCGCCUGGCAGGACGACUGAGCAAGUUCUUGGAAAACCAGAGAUAUUAGAGCGGUGAAUCGCGCUGGUCACGUUGGACACCUGCGCGUUAGGAGAUUCUGGAGCCAGAGGGAGAGACCCCAGAAACGCCCCGGUCGGCGACCCAGCCCGAGACGCCUGGGGUCCCAAGGGAAGCUGAACGCCCGAAUGGGGAAAUGGAGAGAGAACCUGAAAGAGCCCCAAACUCGAGGACCUAUUGCUCCCCAAGAAUAACAUCUUCCAGAACUAGACAGAAAACUAGGCGUCUGGGAACCCUGAAAUCCUUGGAGGAGUAGAUCAUCAUGACCCUCUGUGUUCCUUUUGGCAAAUGACUUGCUUCCAUUGUUUGUUUGUUCAAUUGUCUGUUUGUUAAAUAAAUAAAACCCUUUUUAUG